GGAGAGGUGUCCGAGACCGGCCUAAGGAGCACGCCUGGAAAGUGUGUGUACCCGAAAGGGUACCGGAGGUUCGAAUCCUCUCCUCUCCGCCA
rnacentral:tRNA from 1 species